GACGAACGCUGGCGGCGUGCUUAACACAUGCAAGUCGAACGGAAAGGCCUCUUUCGGGGGGUACUCGAGUGGCGAACGGGUGAGUAACACGUGAGUAACCUGCCCUUGACUUUGGGAUAACUUCAGGAAACUGGGGCUAAUACCGGAUAGGAGCUCCUGCUGCAUGGUGGGGGUUGGAAAGUUUCGGCGGUUGGGGAUGGACUGGCGGCUUAUCAGCUUGUUGGUGGGGUAGUGGCUUACCAAGGCCUUGACGGGUAGCCGGCCUGUGAGGGUGACCGGCGGCAUUGGGACUGAGAUGCGGCCCAGACUCCUACGGGAGGCAGCAGUGGGGAAUAUUGCACAAUGGGUGGAAGCCUGAUGCAGCAGCGCCGUGUGCGGGAUGACGGCCUUCGGGUUGUAGACCGCUUUCGCUCAUGACGAAGCUUUGUGUGACGGUAGUGAAUAAAGAAGCACCGGCUAACUACGUG
rnacentral:rRNA from 1 species